CGGGACUUGGAGGGUCAGUUGCGGUUGAUUUGGGCAGCAGACUAUGGUAACGGGUCCCUCCUAUAAACACCGUGCCGGGUACGACUUCCCUUGGUGAGUUCACUAGACGAAGCCUCCGCCUGGGAAGCGUCAUCUGGUGUCCCCAGUGCAGCGUGGAGGCGGCGGGAUGCAGAUUCGGCUACACAGCGCGAAGCUGGUUCGAACUGGGGCAGAGUUCGAACCUCUGGAGAGUUUGUGAGGAGGCGUGUGAGGGUUUGUGCAGGAGGUGGAGACUUGACAGGCAUCACCUAUACCCAACCCCCUCAGAGUGCGUUCCGAGGAGGCAGAGGUGACGCCCUCGGCUCCUAGACCAUUUCCUUGGACUCCUGUGGUACAGGCUUGUCUGCGUGACACUCUGCUGUGGCCCACCUGGAUCUUCAGUCUGUGGGCCCCCCUGUGCUACACUGUUAAACUGGAAGCCAUCCACCCUCACCAUCAGCAGCCAGGUACUGGGAACCAUUCUCCACUGGUGUCUUCAUUCUGGAAUGAUGAUGACCGCCUCACCCGAAGCUUGUCUUUAAGGAAUCAUCUGUGUUAGGCUUCAUGCACAGACUCAAGAGGCCAGAGCUGGAUGCCAGGGACCUGACUUCUCUUAGCCCCUUGUACUCCACUGCUGGUGACUGGAGGGAUGGCUCAGCCCUUAAGAACACUCAUUAUUGUUGCAGAGGACCGGGCGUCAAUUCUCUACCACAAAGGUGGCUCACAGCCAUCCAAACUCUACUUCCAAGGCCUCCGGUGCCCUCUCCAGACUUCUUCAUGGUGUACAUGCAUUCGUGCAGGCAAAACACCCAUAAACAUUAUCUUAGAGAACGACUCUAAGCUGCUGUGGAACAAGUGGGCGAGACGGGCAUCUCCAAGGACCUGUUUUCCAACAUAAAUGUUUAAAUAAACCAGAAACUGUCAACUUUGCUAGAAACCUAGAGGAUUGUCCCAGGUUUGCCACAACGAAGGAAAUAGAAAUGCAGGAGGUAGCUGGGGAGUGGAGACUGGGCUUAGUAGAUAAAGAGUGCAAACUGGCUCAGGUGAUGGUGACGCCUGCUUUAAUCCCAGCAUUUGGGAGGCAGCUGGUUCUCUGUGAGUUCGAGGCCAGUCUGGUCUACAGAGAAAACCUGUCUUGAAAAACCAAAAGAAAAAAAAAAAGACUUUAAGUCUACUGCCUUAAAUGCAUCAAAGAGCUAGAUGAAACCAUGAGCAGAGAUUAAAGAAACCAAGGGAGACCAGAAGUGUUAAUGAGAGGAGACUCUCAAUAGAGAGGAACCUAGUGUAAAAUCUAAUACCAAAAGGGCCACUAAAAUGAAAAGUCACUAGAACAUUUCAGAGGCAGCUUGAGCAGGGAGGAGGCAAGGAUGAGGAAACGUCAGGUUCUGGUGGUGAAAUUGGCCAGUCUGAGAAACAGGAAGUGCCCGGAGGGUCUCAUCAGGUGCACCAGGUGUCUUCUGUGGACUCAAAGAGAAGAGACAGGGACAAGGAUAUGUGUGCUGGGAGCUGAAAAUCUCCCACAUUUGAUGAAAGACCUCAGUUUGUAGACCCAGGCCCCACAAACUCAGGAGGAUAAGUUUAAAGAUCCACACAAAGGCCAUUAUAGUUAAAUUGAUGAAAGACAAUUUGAGCAUGAUAAGAAGGAAGGUGUUUGGUGUAUCACACCAGAGUCAAGCGUGGUGGCUUGGAUCUGAUGCUAGCACGCGAGAGGGUGGAGGGUCCCGGGAAAGUUGUGAGGUCCACGUAGUGACACCGCUAUAUCCUGAAGGGGGAAAGUGAUAAAUCAAGAAGCUAUAGCAGCAAGACAUAUUGAAAGUGCCAGUGGACCUGUCACCCAAGAACUUGUGAGCAACAAAGACACAGAAUGAAGGAGUGGUUAAGACAAAUAAAUAGCAGACUGUGGGGACAGUUGUCAUGGAUGCACCUUUCCUCUAAGAUGCAUGUGUGUUAUAUGUACAUAGAUACACAUAUAUACCUAUAUUAUAAUAUAUAUGUACAUGCAUGCAUGCUGAGGAUGGACCUCCGUGCCUCAUGCAUUCUAAAUGUGCACCCUCCCACUGAGCUAACCGUCUAGUCUAAUAACCUUUGACCCAGAAAUUUAUUUAGAAUUUGUGAUAACCAAUUAAAAGAAUAACAGAUGCAUGGGGAGGAUUUCGGCAUCAGUUGUUUUAGGGUGUUUGUAGGAUGAUGUCAUUAUGCAGGUGAAGGUGGGUAGAGGACAGAACAAGGCCUGUCAUUGAACAAGAAGGAAGGAUGGGCAGGAUAAAGGUUCUAGAGAAGGAUGAGCCUGGAGGAGAGGGCCGCUAAGAGAACACGGCAGCGGAUGUUAAGAUUCCUCUCUGCACAUUUACAGGUUGUUAUGAAUAGUCUUAAGGGAUGGAUGUGUA
ensembl:lncRNA